UGCCCUAGUAACGGCGAGUGAAGCGGCAACAGCUCAAAUUUGAAAUCUGGCUACCUUUCGUAGUCCGAGUUGUAAUUUGUAGAGGAUGCUUUUGGUGAGGUGCCUUCCGAGUUCCCUGGAACGGGACGCCAUAGAGGGUGAGAGCCCCGUACGGUUGGAUACCAAACCUCUGUAUAGCUCCUUCAACGAGUCGAGUAGUUUGGGAAUGCUGCUCUAAAUGGGAGGUAUAUCUCUUCUAAAGCUAAAUAUAGGCUAGAGACCGAUAGCGCACAAGUAGAGUGAUCGAAAGAUGAAAAGCACUUUGAAAAGAGAGUUAAACAGCACGUGAAAUUGUUGAAAGGGAAGCGCCUAUGACCAGACUUGUUUCUGGCAGUUUCGUUAGCCUUCGGGCUGAUUUACUCUGUCCAGUACAGGCCAGCAUCAGUUUGUUGUCGGGGAGAAAGGCUCUGGGAACGUAGCUCCCCCCUUCUGGGGGGAGUGUUAUAGCCCUCUGCAUAAUACCCUUCGGCAGACUGAGGACCGCGCUUCGGCAAGGAUGCUGGCGUAAUGGUCAUCAGCGACCCGUCUUGAAACACGGACCAAGGAGUCAACCUUAUGUGCGAGUGUUUGGGUGUAAAACCCC
rnacentral:rRNA from 1 species